UGGAGGAGAGGGUGGAGCGGGAGAGGAGUCAGAGUUUCCCCCACUCCUCUCCAGCUCCACCCUCUCCUCCA